CUAACAAGGAUUCCCUUAGUAACUGCGAGUGAAGAGGGAAAAGCUCAAAUUUAAAAUCUGGCAGUGUUUCACUGUCCGAGUUGUAACCUAGAGAAGUGUAACCUGCACUGGACCGUGUAUAAGUCUCCUGGAAUGGAGCAUCACAGAGGGUGAGAAUCCCGUCUUUGACAUGGACCACCAGUGCAUUGUGGUUGUGCUCUCAACGAGUCGAGUUGUUUGGGAAUGCAGCUCUAAAUGGGUGGUAAAUUCCAUCUAAAGCUAAAUAUUGGCGAGAGACCGAUAGCGAACAAGUACCGUGAGGGAAAGAUGAAAAGAACUUUGGAAAGAGAGUUAAACAGUAUGUGAAAUUGUUGAAAGGGAAACGUUUGAAGUCAGUCGCGUUGGUUGGGGAUCAGCCUGACAUUGUUAGGUUUACUUCCUGGUCGACGGGCCAACAUCAGUUUUGACUGCCAGAAAAAGGCCAAAGGAAUGUGGCACCUUUGGGUGUGUUAUAGCCCUUGGUCGUAUAUGGUGGUUGGGACUGAGGAAAGCAGCGUGCCGAAAGGCCGGGUUUCGACCACGUUCACGCUGAGGAUGUUGGCAUAAUGGCUUUAAGCGACCCGUCUUGAAACACGGACCAAGGAGUCUAACAUGCAUGCGAGUGUUUGGGUGGAAAACCCUUACGCGUAAUGAAAGUGAAAGUUGAGAUCCCUGUCGCGGGGAGCAUCGACGCCCGGACCAGAACUUUUGGGACGGAUCUGCGGUAGAGCACGUAUGUUGGGACCCGAAAGAUGGUGAACUAUGCCUGAAUAGGGUGAAGCCAGAGGAAACUCUGGUGGAGGCUCGUAGCGAUUCUGACGUGCAAAUCGAUCGUCAAAUUUGGGUAUAGGGGCGAAAGACUAAUCG
rnacentral:rRNA from 1 species